GAUGAACGCUGGCGGCGUGCCUAAUACAUGCAAGUCGAGCGAACAGACGCGGCGCUCGCUCCUUUGAUGUUAGCGGCGGACGGGUGAGUAACACGUAGGCAACCUACCUAUAAGACUGGGAUAACUGCGGGAAACCGGAGCUACUACCGGAUAAUAUUUCGAACCGCAUGGUUCGAUAGUGAAAGAUGGCUUUGCUAUCACUUAUAGAUGGACCUGGGCUGUAUUAGUUAGUUGGUAAGGUAACGGCUUACCAAGGCAACGAUACGUAGCCGACCUGGGAGGGUGAUCGGCCACAGUGGGACUGAGACACGGUCCAGACUCCGACGGGAGGCAGCAGUAGGGAAUCGUCCGCAAUGGGCGAAAGCCUGACGGGGCAACGCCGCGUGAGUGAUGAAGGUCUUCGGAUCGUAAAACUCUGUUAUUAGGGAAGAACAAACGUGUAAGUAACUGUGCACGUCUUGACGGUACCUAAUCAGAAAGCCACGGCUAACUACG
rnacentral:rRNA from 1 species